CCGGAGAGCGGUGGGAAUUUGACUCAACACGCAUGGGUUCGAUUCCGGAGAGCGGUGGGCACCAAUUUGACUCAACACGCAUGGGUUCGAUUCCGGAGAGCGGUGGGCACCAAUUUGACUCAACACGCAAUUCGACUCAACACGCAAUUUGACUCAACACGCAGGGGUUCGAUUCCGGAGAGCGGUGGGCAAUUUGACUCAACACGCAUGGGUUCGAUUCCGGAGAGCGGUGGGCACCAAUUUGACUCAACACGCAAUUUGACUCAACACGCAAUUCGACUCAACACGCAAUUUGACUCA
rnacentral:rRNA from 1 species